CCAUCAGGGACCUCUCUCUAAUUACAGAAUUCUUCCAAUUCAACCAUCAACGCACCGAAUAAACAACACACCGACCUCUUCAUCAGGGACCUCUCUCUAAUUACAGAAUUCUUCCAAUUCAACCAUCAACGCACCGAAUAAACAACACACCGACCUCUUCAUCAGGGACCUCUCUCUAAUUACAGAAUUCUUCCAAUUCAACCAUCAACGCACCAAAUAAACAACACAC